rnacentral:rRNA from 2 species
UGGCGGCACUAGCGCGGUGGUCCCACCUGACCCCAUGCCGAACUCAGAAGUGAAACGCCGUAGCGCCGAUGGUAGUGUGGGGUCUCCCCAU